GCUUAGGUGACUAGGUGACCGACUCCUCAGUGAAAAGAAUGGAUGGCUGGGAAGAGGAGAGAGAGAGGAGAAAGAAAGGAGGAACUGUAAGCAUUGCAGCUCAUACGGAAAGAUAUCCUGGCAGUCUAGAAUCAAGAAAUACCACAGUCUCCGUAACCCCACUUCUUGGCUGAGGCGCGCCAACCAACCCACGCUGGCCUUCCUCAAAAGUCGAUCAUCAUUAAGGCAAACUAUUGAAAAUAGCUCCAUGUGGACCAAGUCACACCCAGCUUCCUGCUCCAACUGAAGCAGCUGGCCCUCUGCCCGACACUGUAGGCAUUCAAUCCACAUUGGUUUAAUUGAUUGAACAGAUUCAAUUUCCUAGCAGGACACUCUGAAACAUUCCAGGGAUGUAAUUUUCCUUCUGGGAAACAAGAAGCCAAACGUUAAUUGAGCCUGGAGCUACCUUCUCAUGUCUGGCUGGGCUCAAUGCUCCAUGUCUGUGCACCUGUUACCUCCUUGUUGCUAUGACAGACUGUCUCACAAAAGAAACCGAAAGAAGGAAUCGCGUUGCCCAUAGUCCAUCAUGGCAGAGAAGAAAGAGUGGUUUGAGUGGCUUGUGUGAUCUGUGGCAAUCAGAGCUUGCAGCAAACUUUCCAUGAGAAGCCAGGAAGCAUGUGCAGAGGGUUGGUCCCAUGCAGGUUCCCUGGCUGUCAGUCCAGACUCUGUGAGUGCCUAUGAGCCCAGCAGCAGUUCAUGUCCAAUGUGCGGAUACAAUCUGCUACCACUGUCCUUCCUCUGAGUUUCUAGAAAGGGAAGUUGGAUUCAUGCAGGAUGAAGGCACAAUUCUGUCAAAUUUGCCUAAUGAGCCGCGCACAGAAAGAGAACUGGAAAACCUCAUUUCAAGAAAAGGAAACACCAGUGUGUGCCCAGGGAUUGACAAUGAGGGUCAGAUAACAAUGAAAUCUGGUCAUCGACUUGGAGGAUAAAAGCCACCCAUUGACCUGGAAUGAUAAUAUAAUAGGGGACGUCUGAGGCAAGUCAAUUCCUGACAGCCUGCACUAAGGAGGGACUCAGGGGUGAAAUGAUGGUUAUCGUGAGAAAAUGAUCAUUGACAUCUUUACUGUGUCCCUCCCCCAGCCACCAGGAAGAGCCCAAAAUAUCACCCAGCAGAGUUUCAAUAUCCAAACAAAUAUGGAUUUGCAACGUCAACUCUGAACCGUGGGAAGCCAAUUCCUUUGAAAGUUACUUUAUCCCAGGCUGGACAGAUGUUGGUUCCACAGUUAGAGAGCUGCAUGGAUGCUGCAGAGGGUGUGAGUUCCCUUUCCAGCACCUCGUAGGUUGGCUCAAGACUGUCUGUCAUGCAAGCUUCUGGUAGCACCAUGCCUUUGAUCCCAGCGUUCAUUCAAGAGACAGAGGAAGGAGGAUCUCUGUGAGUUCUAGGCUAGCCUGGUCUAUAUAUAGUGAAUUCCAGGCCAGCCAGGGCUACCCAGGAGACCCAGGAGAAAAGAGAAAGAGGGCACACAGAAAAAGGUGGAUGUUCUCUGAUUUGAAGAAGAAUCCACAUGAGCACUCUUUGCCUGGGUCGGCGAGCUUUGGGUAGUCCUCACUUAAAAACACGCCAUCUAUCUGCCUGUCAAUUACUGUGUGCUGGGCUGUUCUCACAUGUGCGGAGACAAAGGCAGCAAAUGAGAUGAGCCUCCUGCUUUCCCAGGGCUUAUUUCUAGAGGAAGGAGACAGCCAGGAAGCAAACAAAAAAUAAAGGCAAUAUCAGAGAAGGCUUCAAAGCUCUAUCCUCAAUAGUUCCCAUUUACCAGCAUCUGAGAGGGUAGAAUGGUUGUAUGGAGCCAAAUGCUCAUUCCAUCCAGCCCAUUCUAGACAACUUUGAUGCUUUCCUUCCCAUCCAUUCAUUUGAUCCCCCUAGGCAAGAACCCCUAGGCCUCCUUCUCUUUGCAAUACUCCAGCCAGGAUUGUGAAAGGACACUCAUGUUCCGGCAGCCACCAGAAUUAGGACAAGGGUCAGAGCCCCAUGGCUGACCUAAAUGGGUACACGCCAAGAAACAAAUCGCGCUUUUGAAAGCUCCACUGAGGCCCUUCAUAGAAGAUGGCUGUCACCGAGAUAUGCAGAAAAGGAGAUAUUGCAAGGAGCAGUGGUGUAGGCAGAAGCAAUUUAAAUAGUGAUCAUGGAGGAAAUGACAUUUGAGAGCUCAGCAAUAGAAGACAAGGAUCAACAUCCUGAAAUAGAAAGACAGCAUGAGUGUAGACCCAGGUGGUAACGGAUUGGCUAUGUCCAUGUCCAUGUCUUACAUACAUGUACAUAUAUACGUGCUCACAUGUGUCUAUCACAUGCAUGCACACAUUCACAUUCACAAAAAAGCCACUUCACCAGAGCCUGCCAUGACCCAGCCUCAGACCUUUCAGAGAUCUGACUGUACUCAUCCCCAAAUACCUGGUGGGGCUGGGGUUGGGGGUCAGGUCAGAGCUCCAAAUGCAAAUUGGUUAGUUUUACUCAUGGGAUAGUUUGAGUGGGUACAUACUCUUAAGCCCCGCCCCCCAACACACCCAUAAGUCUCACACUUCUAAGGCUGACCCAGAGCCAAGCCACUUUCUUGGAUCUUUAGUAUCUGCAUGGGAAUAGAUGUCUUUUGAGGAGACCUCAGCCCAGGGUGGAACCUGGUCUGAGCAAUCAGAACCCAGGCAACUAACUCUUCUUGCCAUGGCUUCUGAAUCUUCACAGUGCAGAAUGAGCCUGACUGGGUCUGAGACGUGGGAACAGACCAAGACCUAUCAGUUACAAUUCAGUGUAUAUAAUAAUAUGUAUAAUCUAUGCAUUGUUAUCUAUUGAUCGAUCAAUAUAUAGAUGAUAGUAGAUGAUAGAUAGAUAGAUAGAUAGAUAGAUAGAUAGAUAGAUAGAUAGAUAGAUAGAUAGAUAGAUAGAUAGAUAGAUAGAUGACAGAGUCUCACUAAGUAGCCCUGGCUAGC